AAAUCGUCAGGGAAUACGUCAAACAUGAAUAAACAUUUAAAGAAACACCCUAAUUCUGAUGCCUCAAGUGUAAAAGGAGAUAAAAAACAAACGACGAUGUCGACGAUUCAGAAAAAGUUAGAACUGUCGAAUUUAACGAGUCGUGAUCACGAACCCCAACCAUCAACAAGUACAUCGAAAGCACCUGAAUCAGAUGCAUUGCUAACAACUCCUUCACCAUCUGAUGUCGAGAGAAUUCCAAUAGUAAUCAGUGGUGAUGGUGAGUUAGAAGAAACCUAUGCACCACCUCCAAAAAAAAGGCAACUUUCAAUUGUACAAUCAAUGGAACGAAAAUACUCUUAUUUGGAUGGAGGAAAAGAUUAUUUGAAACUCUGCAAAUGUUUGCUUUAUUUUAUUUGCGUUGAUAAAAGACCGUUUGACAUUGUGAAAGGGCGUGGGUUUAAAAAAUUGAUGCAUCAAGCAUGUCCAUCAUUUAAAAUUCCUCAUGUAGAUACCCUUAAAGCACAAUUCGAACACUUUUAUAGUGUAAUGCGUUUGAAAAUAGAAAAUAUAUUUGACAAUGUAGAUCACGUGGCAUUAACCUGCGAUAUUUGGAGUGAGAUGAUGACUGUUACCAGUUAUUUAGGGGUUACUGCUCAUUAUUUGCAAGAAGACAAACUGGUGUCACGUUGCAUAGCUACCGUUGCACUGGAUCAGCGUCAUACUGGUGAUUUUAUCGCUGAAAAAUUAAAAGAAAUUUGUGCAGGUAUACACAUCAGUUUGGAUAAAAUAACUGCAGUAGUUACAGACAAUGGCUCGAACAUGAUAGCCGGCAUAGCAAAUUUUCUAGAAAAGAACAAACAUUUAUCUUGCUUUGCUCAUACAAUUAAUCUAAUUGCUGAAUCUGCCAUGUCAGUCAAUGAUUUAGGAGCAUUAGUAAGCAAGGUACGAGACAUUGUAAAAUUUUUCAAGAGCAGUGUAAUCCUCAGUGACUCUUUACGUCAAAAGCAAACUGGGUCUCAACCUCUCAAACUGAUUUUAGACGUGAAGACUCGGUGGAAUUCCGUCUAUUAUAUGCUACAGAGAUACAUUGAAUUAGCACCAAUAGUUCAUCAAAUUUUGAUGUUAAAUACAAAAGCACCACCCACACCAUCGGCUGUAGAAAUGCAAAAUAUUAAAACAUUGAUUUUUAUUUUGAAACCGCUGGAGUAUGUAACCAAAGAGUUAUCAGGUGAACAGUAUGUAACCAUUAGUAAAAUAAUUCCGAUGGUGAACUGUUUGAAGACGCAGAUUAAUACUAUACCUAUGGCUGUAGGUGAUGGUGAUGAUCCCCAUGGAAAGGUAAUAGAUACAGUAAAAAAAGAAAUCCUAAAACAGAUAGAACGCCGAUUCGGACAUAUUGAAGGUAAUUAUUUGAUUGCAAUGUCAUGUUUGCUAGAUCCGAGAUUCAAGAAUAUCCAUUUUCAGGACGCUAAAGCUUGUGCAAAGGCAAUUUCUUCACUGAGAAGAUAUAUAACAACGUCUCCUAGUGUUAUCGGCAGCGAUCAUGACAGCGAUUCCUCUCUUGAAACAACUUACGAUUUUUGGAGUCACCACAAGAAAUUAGCUCACACGAAAAAGCGAAGUAAAACCAGUGCUUCAUCACAGUUUGAAAAUAAGGAUGAAAUAAGCCAUUAUUUAUCUACACAGGUUUCGCCACUCUCUUUGGAUCCUCUGAAACAAUGGGAAGACAUGAAAGUUGUUUUCCCAAAAUUAUAUAAAUUGGCACGAGAAUUUUUAUCGAUUCCUGCGACUUCAGUGCCCUCAGAAAGAUUGUUUUCGAAAGCUGGAAGUACAAUUACUAAAACCCGUAACCGCCUAUCGCCAAAAAGGCUCGACAAACUUCUUUUCUUGAGCGAUUGUACCGAGGAGGAAUGGGAUUUAUAAUAUUUUAGAUUAAAAAAUUGUGGCUUUACUUA